rnacentral:rRNA from 1 species
GACGAACGCUGGCGGCGUGCUUAACACAUGCAAGUCGAACGAAGUGGCGAACGGGUGAGUAACGCGUAAUAAACCUGCCCUUCAGAGGGGGACAACAGUUGGAAAAGACUGCUAAUACAGAAUACUGAAGGAGGGGAUUGAGUCUGAGUAGCUAGUUGGAGGGGUAACGCACCAACAAGGCGAUGAUCAGGCGCCGGUCUGAGAGGAUGAACGGUCACAUUGGGACUGAGACACGGCCCAGACGCCUACGUGAGGCAGCAGUGGGGAAUCUCCCGCAAUGGACGAAAGUCUGACGGAGCAACGCCGCGUGAGUGAUGACGGCUUUCGGGUUGUAAAGCUCUGUUAAUCGGGACGCGGUACCGGAAUAGAAAGCCACGGCUCACUACGUGCCAGCAGCCGCGGUAAUAC